rnacentral:lncRNA from 1 species
AUGAAGAAGAGAUGGAGCCGCGGCAGAAGCAUUCCUGCUCGUAUCAGACAGCUGUGGAUGGCAAUGGGUCAUUUCACUCCAUUAUGGUUUCUGGCAACCCUGGUGGUCUCUGCCUCCUUGGAAAACAGCAGCGAUGAGCACUGUGGGGACAACUCACUCCUUGUUCAGCCACAGUGGAUGUCUUCAUGGCCAGGCUCUAGCUGCAUCAUCUGUCACAGAGAGAAGCAAAAUGACAAAGAGAGGAAAAGAUCAGUAAAUUUUAAGCUGGAGAAGAAAGACCAUUCAACCCGAGUGGAAGCAGAUAAAUGGGGAAUCAUUACCUACCCUGCCUUCAUCUUCACACCAAGCGGCCUCGAGUGCCACUUGCCUGGGCACUGUCACAAGAGAUGUGGCAAUGUGCAGCCAUGA